rnacentral:lncRNA from 1 species
UCUUAGUCUCUCUGGCUCCAGAGCUGUAAGCAGGAAGAUCGUGUCCCUCUUGCGGCAGUCAACCUUACCUUGAACAUCUUUUUCAGGUCCUUAACCAGUCAAGAUGCCCAUCCAUGUGGAUCAAAUGAUGCAGCUGCUUUGCCGUGUUUCUCGGGAGAAGGGAAUGAAAGCUGCUGUCAAGCACUCUGGUCAAGGAGCGCUCUUGGCAGGUGCAACUGCAUUUGUUGGGGGUUUGGUUGGAGGUCCACCUGGCAUCGCUGUAGGAGGAGCUCUUGGUGGACUGCUUGGUGCCUGGAUGACCAGUGAACAGUUCAAGCCAGUCUCUCAGAUUAUAAUGGAAUUGCCUCCUGCCGAGAAGCAGAAACUCUACAAGGAAGCCUUUGCAAUAGUCAAGAACUUAGACUGGAUUGAUGUUCUUGAACUGACUUUAUUUGUAAUGCAAAAUGCUGAUCUUAAGUUUCUGCUGGCAAAAACAGUUGAAAGAUUCUUCACCAGAGAGCUAAGUGCACAGAUAAAGUAUGGAGAAUAAACCUUUUGGGGCCCAGUUUUUAGAUGUUGUUGAAUUUUACUUUGACAAAUAUUCUCUGAUGUAGCAAUUAUUAGGAUUAGGAUUGUCAUUGUAGCUUUCAUUUCUCAGCUGAUUCUGGAUAUUCUGUUUUCAUUUAAAAAAAAAAAAAUCCUAAAAAGCAUCACAAAGGUCUCUGUUUUGCUUUAGAGGAAAUGAACUGAUUGAAGAAGUGGGCACUUUAUAUCUCAGCUGGUCGGUCACUCUUUAUUUCAAGGCAAUCAGGAAACUAUUUAUCAGGUUUGAUGUACACAGAACUUCUUGGGUGGAGGCAUGUACCUAUUUUCAGAGUGGUAGCAACAUGUUUGUGACAAGGUUUGCACCCUGUUUUGAAACAGUUGUGUGCAGCCCUGUUCUAUUUUGUUAAGAUCACCACAAUAUUUGCCUUUUAGGUUUAUCGGAGGAUUUGGGCAUUAAAUAACUGUUCAGCAGAUUUGAUCAUCCAAGGAACUGCUCAAGAAUGUAUUAAUAUCCCUCUGUUCCUCUUCUUUGGUACCGAUGUGCCUAUCCACCACUGUAUCCCUUGUUACUGGAAAGAGCUACAGGCAGGAGAUAGCAUCUAAUGAAAUCCAUCCAGUUGCACAGUGUCCAGGUUAAGGACGACAUAGAGCCAUCACCUAGGAAACAAGUUUUCACUGUAGGAGAAAAUACGUAGUCAGCGAAAGGAGCAACAAAGCAAUGCAGAUACCAAAGGCUGGGCAGACUCUGAGAACCUCCCAGAACUUCUAUGCUGCACAUUGCCAGGUCAGUCAUCCAACAGGAACAGCGGUGCUAAGAAACUGUUUGAAACUGAGAGCCUCCCUUGACUGAAUGCUGCUUUGGAAAAUGCUUGUGGUGCAGCCCUCUUCUGUGCUCAGUGUUGUAAGACUUGUGCUUGUUUUCCCUUUUUGAAUUCUAGAAUAGCUCACAGGAGAUUCCAAUGUCUUUGCUAGGUUUGCUAAAUUUGUUCAGUUUGGUCCUCAAAAAAUCACAUAAAAUUUACUGACAGAAUCUGUAUUUGCACAGCAAAAAAAGCAAAAAAAACCAAGCUCUUUUACUGCUAAAAUCAAAAUCAGUUCAAACAGGCAACAAGUUUAACAAACAGGGAUGGCAGGAGCUAGAUGAAUGACAGGCGUUAAGUUGUGUGCUGGAGAGCUGCUUAAAUCUUCACUGACUUCCUCUAACUCUGAAUGAGCUAAUUUAUAUAUUAUUUAGUUAAUAACAUAUGGAGAAGGUGACACCACCCAGUAAACUCAGGGUGCUCUAAUCCCUUUGUUUAAUAUGACUUGUGUUUUUCACAUCACGAGGACACUGGAGUAUCAUCUUCACUUAACCUUAAGUAGGUACAAUGACUAUUUAAAUGUCAACAUAUAAUUUAUCAUAAAUGUGUCAUAUUUUUGUUCUUGCCAAAGCAGAUUCCAGUCCCCAAAAGCUGACACACCACAGAGUUUAUUACCCUACUACCUAGUUAACAGAGAACAAAUAUCUUCCAUAUCAAAUAGUGAGAUUCCAACCCAGACCGUUCUAUGACCCUGUGACUCUAUAACUUAGGACACAAGAUGAUGAUUUACUGAUCUUGAGUUUACAGCUGGAAAUGAG